rnacentral:misc_RNA from 1 species
GAUGAAGAACGCAGCGAAAUGCGAUAAGUAAUGUGAAUUGCAGAAUUCAGUGAAUCAUCGAGUCUUUGAACGCACAUUGCGCCCCCUGGUAUUCCGGGGGGCAUGCCUGUCCGAGCGUCAUUGCUGCCCUCAAGCACGGCUUGUGUGUUGGGCCCCCGUCCCCGGUUUCCCCCGGGGACGGGCCCGAAAGGCAGCGGCGGCACCGCGUCCGGUCCUCGAGCGUAUGGGGUUUUGUCACCCGCUCUGUAGGCCCGGCCGGCGCCAGCCGACACCCAACUUUAUUUCUAAGGUUGACCUCGGAUCAGGUAGGGAUACCCGCUGAACUUAAGCAUAUCAAUAAGCGGAGGA